ACUGGUUUUGGCUGUUGGGCAUAUUGUUGUGGCAUAUAGAACAAGUUGCAGAGAAAGAAGGAAGCUUUGGGUUUACAAAAUUGACAUUGAAGCUAUAUUAUGAGUUCAUCCACACCUAGCACCAUAGCUCCAACUACUUUUCAAUGUUAGGAGGAAUUUAAUUUGGGUUGUAAUGUAUAUUUGGUUGAAUUUGGGUUGUAUUUGGCUAGUAAUUUAUUUUGGAACUUAUUUUGUUGAAGUUUGAUUUAAUUUGGGUUGUAAUUUAUAUGUUGAAGUUGGAUUGAA